rnacentral:lncRNA from 1 species
AAAUAAUAAUAUCUUUCCUCUUUUUAUCGUAAUCUCUCUCUGUAUCGCUAUCGUCUCCCUCUAUCUAUUUGUUCUCUCCUCUUUUUUGUAUCGUCCUCCGUAUUGAUUUUUAUUCUCAUAUUUAUAGUAGAAGGGGCAGCGAGAGAUAUUUUGAGGAGUCGGUUAGGGAUUCGAAAUUCGAAAUCAAAUUUUGAAUCGGUUGUUGGAUGGAUAGGUAUUCAAAAUUCGAAUGGAUGUGGUUGGUUGGAAGAUAUUUUGGGAGUUGGUUGGGGAUUCGAAAUUCGAAAUCGGUUGUUGUGGUUGGUUGGAAGAUAUUUUUGGGGUUGGUUGGGAAUUCGAAAUUCGAAAUCGAUUUUUGAAUCGGUUGUUGGAUGGAUAGGUAUUCAAAAUUUGAAUGAAUGUGGUUGGUUGGGAGAUUUUUUUGGGCUUGGUUUCAGUUGGUUGUGAGAUAUUUUGGGAGUUGGUUGUGGUUUGUUGAGAGAUAUUUUGGAAAUUGGUUGAGAAUUUGAAAUCGAAUAUGGAUAUGGGUCGUCAUUGAUUUGGCCAAUUUAAUGAAAUUUGUUGGGCACAAAUAAUAACAUUCAGUGGGCUGAAAU